GGUACCCUAACCGUGCGAAGGUAGCAUAAUCACGUUGUUCUUUAAAUGGGGACUAGUAUCGACGGCAUCACGAGGGUUACACUGUCUCCUUUCUCCAAUCAGUGAAACUGAUCUCCCCGAUGAAGAAGCGGGGAUAAGAUUAUUACACGAGAAGACCCCAUGGAGCUUUAAGCUCAACAACAACUCCUAUGAAAAUAAUUCACCAUAGUACACGAACCCUGUUUGUUAGCUUUAGGUUGGGGUGACCGCGGAGUAUAAUACAACCUCCACGGCGAACGGGUUUAAGACCCUAAUCCAAGAGCCACUGCUCUAAGAAUCAUCCAAUUGACGUACAAUGAUCCGAUUUUCGAUCAACGACCCAAGUUACCCUGGGGAUAACAGCGCAAUCCAUUUCUAGAGCCCCUAUCGACAAAUGGGUUUACGACCUCGAUGUUGGAUCAGGGUAUCCUAGUGGUGCAUCCGC
rnacentral:rRNA from 1 species